AUUGAACGCUGGCGGCAGGCCUAACACAUGCAAGUCGAGCGGAUGAAGGGAGCUUGCUCCUGGAUUCAGCGGCGGACGGGUGAGUAAUGCCUAGGAGUCUGCCUGGUAGUGGGGGAUAACGUCCGGAAACGGGCGCUAAUACCGCAUACGUCCUGAGGGAGAAAGUGGGGGAUCUUCGGACCUCACGCUAUCAGAUGAGCCUAGGUCGGAUUAGCUAGUUGGUGGGGUAAAGGCCUACCAAGGCGACGAUCCGUAACUGGUCUGAGAGGAUGAUCAGUCACACUGGAACUGAGACACGGUCCAGACUCCUACGGGAGGCAGCAGUGGGGAAUAUUGGACAGUGGGCGAAAGCCUGAUCCAGCCAUGCCGCGUGUGUGAAGAAGGUCUUCGGAUUGUAAAGCACUUUAAGUUGGGAGGAAGGGCAGUAAGUUAAUACCUUGCUGUUUUGACGUUACCAACAGAAUAAGCACCGGCUAACUUCGUG
rnacentral:rRNA from 1 species